rnacentral:rRNA from 1 species
UACGUAGGGUCCGAGCGUUGUCCGGAAUUACUGGGCGUAAAGGGCUCGUAGGCGGCCAACUAAGUCAGACGUGAAAUCCCUCGGCUUAACCGGGGAACUGCGUCUGAUACUGGAUGGCUUGAGAUUGGGAGAGGGAUGCGGAAUUCCAGGUGUAGCGGUGAAAUGCGUAGAUAUCUGGAGGAACACCGGUGGCGAAGGCGGCAUCCUGGGCCAACACUGACGCUGAGGAGCGAAAGCCAGGGGAGCAAACGGG